rnacentral:tRNA from 1 species
CGCGGGGUGGAGCAGCUCGGUAGCUCGCUGGGCUCAUAACCCAGAGGUCGCAGGUUCAAAUCCUGUCCCCGCCACCA